AACCAGGACAUUCUGAACAUGGAAACCUGGUACCAAGGAAAGUGGAGCUCUUCUUUGUUGGCUGAUUAUUGUUGGUCACUAAAAAGGGACAUUCCAGAAGCUAAAUACAGUCGAAAAUCAUAAACUUCUACAUUUUAAAGACUAUGGAGAUGCA